rnacentral:lncRNA from 1 species
CGGGUACCAUUGCUAGAUGGUCACUUUGAUUGGUAUAAAAAUUUAUUCUUGUGCUACUGGCUUAGGUUCGAAUCAUAAGGUCACACACAUUAGAGUUCACGAUCUGAUCAGAUGGUUGAUCAACGAUUAAGAAUCAUUCUAGGGUUGAACGAUCAAUACGAUUGACAUUUAACCUAGUGCAAGUGUUGCAGGAGGAUCGAUUAGCAAUUCGAUUGCUAAUUGGCUUAAUUUGAUUAAGUCAAUGGGCUG